UCGAAAUCGGGUGACGCUACGGACUUAAAAAAUCCGUUGGAUUUAUUAACCAUGAGGGUUCAAGUCCC
rnacentral:tRNA from 1 species